rnacentral:rRNA from 1 species
AUUGAACGCUGGCGGCAGGCCUAACACAUGCAAGUCGAACGAGUGGCGGACGGGUGAGUAAUGUAUGGGAAUCUGCCUGAUGGAGGGGGAUAACUACUGGAAACGGUAGCUAAUACCGCAUACCAUCAGCUGCACCCAUAUGGGAUUGGCUAGUGGGUGGGGUAAAGGCUCACCAAGGCGACGAUCCCUAGCUGGUCUGAGAGGAUGAACAGCAACACUGGGACUUAGAAACGGGCCAGACUCCUACGGGAGGCAGCAGUGGGGAAUAUGGCACAAGGGGCGCAAGCCUGAUGCAGCCAUGCCGCGUGUAUGAAGAAGGCCUUAGGGGUGUAAAGUACUUUCAGCGGGGAGGCGGUACCCGCAGAAGAAGCACCGGCUAACUCCGUGCCAGCAGCCGCGGUAAUUC